UUUUGUUGAUUUUCUUCACAAAAGAGAUCCAAAUCUGCAGGCCGACAUCUAAUCCUGCCAGCCUCCACAGGCUCUCGCUUGGGCCUCAUUACAUAAGCACGCUCGGAAAAUGGGGAGGGAAGACGGGAAGGAGCGGACUUAACUGCACUUGUGCGUGUUUGCCCAAUUCCUGAGCUCCAUUGGAUGAAAGUGAAGCGUUAAAAAAAAGGACACGAACAGGAGGCAGAGAAGGUCCACAACUAAACUGCAGGAAUAGUCAUUGUUCUUGCAGAUUCUAGACCUUCAACUUCAACUGAAACACCUUAAAGCAACCAUGCUCUGCCUCUAUUUGCAGGGUCAGUUUCCUCACAGUGAUGUUGUACAAUAGUCUCCUAUUUUGAGACGAGAGAGGGAGAAGCAGGUACUAGGGGAUAAUGAGUGUUUUCAAGUUUAAGUGUGUUUGAACAAAUUUCAAUAUAUUUUUAACACCUCUAAAUGGGUUUAAUGCAUGUGGGAAUCGGUGAACUACUUAAAAACAACAUUG